CUCCAGAUCCAAUUAUGUAUCCCCCCUGCCAACCCCGCCUGACACUGCAGCGGCCAGCUCUUGAGGACCUGCUCCUGGGUUCAGAUGCCAGCCUCACAUGUACACUGAAAGGCCUGAAAAAGCCCGAGGGAGUCACUUUCACCUGGAAUCCCACCACUGGGAAGGACGCAGUGACAAACAAACCUGUGAUGGACUCAUGCGGCUGCUAUAGUGUGUCUAGUGUCCUGCCUGGCUGUGCUGAGCUCUGGAACAAUGGGGAGACCUUCACAUGCACAGUUAGCCACCCUGAGUCUGAGACCCUAAGUACCACAAUUGCCAAAGUCACAGAGAACACCUUCCCACCCCAGGUCCACCUGCUGCCGCCGCCGUCGGAGGAGCUGGCCCUGAAUGAGCUGGUGUCCCUGACAUGCCUGGUGCGAGGAUUCUACCCUAAAGAUGUGCUGGUGCGUUGGCUGCAUGGGAACCAGGAGCUGUCUCGUGAUAACUACCUAGUGUGGGAAGCCCAGAAGGAGCCAGGCGAGGGUGCCAACACCUACGCGAUGACAAGUGUGCUGCGUGUGUCAGCUGAAACCUGGAAACAGGGGGACAGUUACUCCUGCAUGGUUGGCCAUGAGGCUUUGCCCUUGGGCUUCACCCAGAAGACCAUCGACCGUCUGUCGGGUAAACCCACCCAAGUCAACGUGUCUGUGAUCAUGUCAGAGGGAGAUGGUGUCUGCUACUGAGCCACCCUGCCUGCCCCUGUUCCUUAA